rnacentral:rRNA from 1 species
GAUGAACGCUGGCGGCGUGCCUAAUACAUGCAAGUCGAGCGAACAGACGAGGAGCUUGCUCCUCUGACGUUAGCGGCGGACGGGUGAGUAACACGUGGAUAACCUACCUAUAAGACUGGGAUAACUUCGGGAAACCGGAGCUAAUACCGGAUAAUAUAUUGAACCGCAUGGUUCAAUAGUGAAAGACGGUUUUGCUGUCACUUAUCGAUGGAUCCGCGCCGCAUUAGCUAGUUGGUAAGGUAACGGCUUACCAAGGCUACGAUGCGUAGCCGACCUGAGAGGGUGAUCGGCCACACUGGAACUGAGACACGGUCCAGACUCCUACGGGAGGCAGCAGUAGGGAAUCUUCCGCAAUGGGCGAAAGCCUGACGGAGAAACGCCGCGUGAGUGAUGAAGGUCUUCGGAUCGUAAAACUCUGUUAUUAGGGAAGAACAAAUGUGUAAGUAACUAUGCACGUCUUGACGGUACCUAAUCAGAAAGCCACGGCUAACUACGUG